UCUUCCCAGGCCUCUCGAAAGCCCAGCACAUUGAGCCUGCGCUGUUGCCCCGUACCCAGAGCAGAGGAAGAGGCUGGAGGCUGCCUCUGUUCCCUUCCCCUCUCCUCUAGUUCUAAAAUAAACUACCAUUAGCCAUAAUAGAGUCCAGUGUAUCUCCAGUUUAUCAAACUAUCUGCAACUGUGCAGAAAGUUAUGAUAAGAUAGUCCUCACUUUGGUUCAGGGGAAAAAAGCCCUUGGACACAUCAGAUUUACUUCAACCAAACCAUUUUCAAGGACCUCAAGCUUGAACCAGUUCAAUUUCCCCAACUGACAGUUUUGCUCUGUUUGAUGUAGAUUCGCUAAGGCUUUUUGCACAUAAGCUUUGAAGAAAGUCUUCUUAAAUGGGAGGCCAAAAAGAAAAGCAGAUAAACAGACAGGAACACAUGUUCCUGGUCCAUUGCACAAUAUCUAAAAGAGAUGAAACACAAAACUCAGAAGGUGAACACAUCAUCUUUACAUCCUAGAAUUUUGAAAUCAGAGAAGAAUACUGUGGUUUCAAACCUCCUGCUGAACCUGACUUCAAGCACAUCCACACUGGGGCCUUAUACUCUACAAUCUACUGAGAAUGAAGAUCUGUUUUUUAUACAUUUGGUUUGGAAACUGGCAACACCUGCUGUUCUCCUUAAUGACCUCUGCAGAGAUUGGCCUUUUGUCACCUGGUCAAGAGCAGAAACACUGCCCUGCUUGCUGGGGAGGAUGGUGCUGUGGGAAUGCUGUUUGCUGCUGGGGGCUGUGCACGUGUGAGCUGAAGGUUGUGCUGCCUACCAGGUCAGAGGAAGGGAGUAAAGUAUGGAGUACAGUGUUGUUAGCACAGAGGAGAUCCAGGACUGUCUGACCUCCCGGCUUCUGGGAAUGCGAUCCAGGCUGAACUGGAAAAGAGCACGAGGAACGGCGCUGUUACUUUUCUGACAACGUUGUGGCUUCUUCUUAUUACAUCUGUCUGUGCCAGCCUUUUUUUGCCUUUUCUUAGUCUAGUUUGGGAACGUUUGUGUAUAAAAAGUAAAGUACAAAGCACAGAGAACAGCAGAACGCGGUAGGUGUUGCUCAGUGCCGCCCCGGGCUCCCUCCAGCCGCAGCAGCAGCG